rnacentral:misc_RNA from 1 species
UCACCCCUCAAGCCUGGCUUGGUGUUGGACCUGCGGUCUGUCACAGGACCGGUCCCAAAGACAAUGACGGCGUCGGUUGGACCCUCGGUACAAUGAGCUCUUAACCCAGCACGUACCGAGUGGCAAGGUCCCCCCGACACGGCCUCCUCGUUCCCGCUGUGACCCAGCGGAAACUUCUCA